rnacentral:lncRNA from 1 species
AAUAGGUAGCAGUGUACCAUUUGACCCUUAAAGCAUUUUUGGGGUCAAGCCAGAGUCUUUUUAAAUCAGCAAGAUUAGGGGUAUAAUCUUCCUCAAUUUUAAUGACGUGAAGACCAGGGUCUGAAUUUUGCCUUGGAGGCGCCAUAUUAGACUCUGUGGGACUAGAGGGUUCCUGAAUAGGUUCUUGAAACUGAGAUUUAUAAAAAAC